GAUGAAGAACGUAGCGAAAUGCGAUAAGUAGUGUGAAUUGCAGAAUUCAGUGAAUCAUCGAAUCUUUGAACGCACAUUGCGCCCUUUGGUAUUCCUUAGGGCAUGCCUGUUCGAGCGUCAUUUAAACCUUCAAGCUAAGCUUGGUGUUGGGUGACUGUCCGCUUCACGGCGGACUCGCCUCAAAAUUAUUGGCGGCCGGUACAUUGGCUUCGAGCGCAGCAGAAACGCGAACUCGGGCCCGUCGUAUUGGCUCCCAGAAGCUAUCUUCACAAUUUUGACCUCGGAUCAGGUAGGAUACCCGCUGAACUUAAGCAUAUCAAUAAGCGGAGGA
rnacentral:misc_RNA from 1 species